GACGAACGCUGGCGGCGUGCUUAACACAUGCAAGUCGAACGGAAAGGCCUGCUUUCCCUUGUGGAUUGCGGGUACUCGAGUGGCGAACGGGUGAGUAACACGUGAGUGAUCUGCCCCCAACUUGGGUAUAAGCCUGGGAAACUGGGUCUAAUUCCCGAUAGGACUGCAGGGUGGUGCCUGUGGUGGAAAACGAUUUUCUAGUGGUUGGGGAUGAGCUCGCGGCCUAUCAGCUUGUUGGUGGGGUAAUGGCCUACCAAGGCGGCGACGGGUAGCCGGCCUGGGAGGGUGGACGGGCGCAUUGGGACUGAGAUACGGCCCAGACUCCUACGGGAGGCAGCAGUGGGGAAUAAUGCGCAAUGGGCGGAGGCCUGAUGCAGCGACGCCGCGUGGGGGAUGACGGCCUUCGGGUUGUAAACUCCUUUCGACCGCGAGGAAGCCACCUGGUUGGAAGGGUGGUGACGGUAGUGGUAGAAGAAGCACCGGCUAACUACGUG
rnacentral:rRNA from 1 species